UUUCCUUUGUAAUAUACAUGGUCCACCUCCCCUACCACGAUGUUAGCUGAACUCAAACAUAACUAUCAUUUCUUUCAUAUUCCCCGCAAUUUCGUAACUUUAAGGGGAAUAUUAAUUGCUUAAAAAAUAAUGAUAAUAGAAUAUAUUUCGAGUGUAAUGCUGAAAUGGUUACAUUUAUUUAAUGAAAAGAAAACAAUGUUGAAAUUUUCGUUAUUGAUUGGUCAAUAAUGCUGGCUGUUGCAUAGCAACAAAUUUAAAAUUGUUAUCCAUGAUAUAAAUACUAUCGCGCGCGGAUGUCAUCCAAACAAGUAAAAAUAGACUACUACUAGUGUGUGCGAUCAAUAUAUAUAAUACGCUACGUGUCUUUGUAUAAAUAUACUUUUUGUGUGUGUGAGUAACACUUUAGCAUUUGAAGCAACUGAAUUUGUUCCAAUUUAUAAGAUUUACUUUCUAAAUCAUUCGACACGAGCAGGGGUCGUUUUGUUUAUCUUAUGCUUAAUGGGAUCCCAUUGAUGAAACUGUGAAGUUUUCUAAGUUAUCCAAACGCGUUUCUGCUUCCUUUCGGCUCCAGCAUCUCUACUUAAUUGUUCUGUUUAUCUUUGUGAUACAUAUAUAAUCCAAAACCAGGAGGAAAAAGUGAAAACGAGGAACAAGGAAAAGAAAGAAAAGGAAAAGGAAAAAACAUCAAUUCAACACCAACAAAGAAGAAACUCAAAGCUGCAGCAUCUUCACUUGCUGCAUCAGGUGGACUAUUCUCACAUUUCCAAAUCAGCAAUUGUAUCAGAGCCCUAAACACCUUUAAGUUUUCAGAGCAAGUCUAUUUUGUGUCAGAGAACUUCUUCAAUUUUCAAAUAUGGAACUUGGCAUGGCUGGAGAAGCUAAGUUUGUAUGAUAAGAGCAUAGCAUUUAUUUGACAUUGAAAUGAAAUUACCAUUUUAAAGAAUAAGGCAAUGUAUAGCUUGAUUUUUCACUUUCUCCAAGCACAAGUUGUACAUAGUUGUGUACAUAAGAUACUUUUUCAUUGUAGAGAAGAAUCUUUGACUGAAGCUUUUGGUAUGAUGCAUUCAUGUUAGCAGCUCCAUCACAAUACUAAUCCCUCAUGUUUUCUAUCUGUAAAUUAUUUCAUUCUUAAAAAGACAGGUCAAUGCCCCAGCUCUUCACUAGCUAUAGACUCUAUGUCAAAUGCUUCAAUGAAAUAGUCUUUUCUUUCAUUAUUGUGUAUGCACAUAGAAGCCUGCCCAGUGUAGGAAACAUCUGUGAUUUCGUCCAUGAGAAAUAAAUAUUAUGAUUACUGCCA